UAUUUUCCCCUCUAUUCUUUACAAGCAUUGUAAAUUACUCCAAAUUAGGUGUAAUGUUUUGCUUUAUUUUAUAUAUAUAUAUAUAUAUAUAUUAAAUGGAAAAGUUGGUGGAGCCCACUCUUAUAAUAAGUGACCAAGACUUUUUUUUCUUUUUUCAUUCAGUUUUUCUCCUCUGUUCGCGACAGUUCUCUCUUACCGGUUCUGUUUUGUUUUUUCUUUUUCUUUUCCACGUCAAUUAAGCUUGAUCUCUCAUUCACUACUUAGUAAUUUUGAGAGCCAUUUGCAGUUAUUCGAAGCCCACGACGAGAUCAACACGUUGAUAGGAGCAAUUCCUUGAUUGGUGCACUAUAGGAGAUUCGAAAUCCUAGGAUUUGAGGUGAAAAAAUUGAGAGUUUUGCUUAAAAGUGAGAAAACGGGAAAGAAAUGGCUGAUGACAUUCUACCACCGACUUAGUAUGGAUUAGGAGCUUCUUUUGUUGUUUUUGUACUUAGGUCUCACUAUUUUUGUGAGACUAAGCAUAAUGUAUUUUGUACGACAACUUAUGGACUUUUCAUAUUUUAAUUACACCUAUGGGCUGUAACUUUUGUAUAAGCUGUCUAAAUGUUGAAAAAUAUGUGCAUUUGAUAUUAAUCUUGUAAUUUGGGACUGUAAA